rnacentral:rRNA from 1 species
AUUGAACGCUGGCGGCAUGCUUUACACAUGCAAGUCGAACGGUAACAGGCCUUCGGGUGCUGACGAGUGGCGAACGGGUGAGUAAUGCAUCGGAACGUACCCAGAGGUGGGGGAUAACGCAGCGAAAGCUGUGCUAAUACCGCAUGUGAUCUGAGGAUGAAAGCGGGGGACCGAGCAGCAAUGUUUGGCCUCGCGCCUUUGGAGCGGCCGAUGUCGGAUUAGCUAGUUGGUGGGGUAAAGGCCUGCCAAGGCGACGAUCCGUAGCUGGUCUGAGAGGACGACCAGCCACACUGGGACUGAGACACGGCCCAGACUCCUACGGGAGGCAGCAGUGGGGAAUUUUGGACAAUGGGCGCAAGCCUGAUCCAGCAAUGCCGCGUGCGGGAAGAAGGCCUUCGGGUUGUAAACCGCUUUUGGCAGGAACGAAACGGUGUCCGCUAAUACCGGGCGCUAAUGACGGUACCUGCAGAAUAAGCACCGGCUAACUACGUG